CAUGCAAGUCGUACGCACUGGCCCAACUGAUUGAUGGUGCUUGCACCUGAUUGACGAUGGAUCACCAGUGAGUGGCGGACGGGUGAGUAACACGUAGGUAACCUGCCCCGGAGCGGGGGAUAACAUUUGGAAACAGAUGCUAAUACCGCAUAACAACAAAAGCCACAUGGCUUUUGUUUGAAAGAUGGCUUUGGCUAUCACUCCGGGAUGGACCUGCGGUGCAUUAGCUAGUUGGUAAGGUAACGGCUUACCAAGGCGAUGAUGCAUAGCCGAGUUGAGAGACUGAUCGGCCACAAUGGAACUGAGACACGGUCCAUACUCCUACGGGAGGCAGCAGUAGGGAAUCUUCCACAAUGGGCGCAAGCCUGAUGGAGCAACACCGCGUGAGUGAAGAAGGGUUUCGGCUCGUAAAGCUCUGUUGUUGGAGAAGAACGUGCGUGAGAGUAACUGUUCACGCAGUGACGGUAUCCAACCAGAAAGUCACGGCUAACUACGUGCCAGCAGCCGCGGUAAUACGUAGGUGGCAAGCGUUAUCCGGAUUUAUUGGGCGUAAAGCGAGCGCAGGCGGUUGCUUAGGUCUGAUGUGAAAGCCUUCGGCUUAACCGAAGAAGUGCAUCGGAAACCGGGCAACUUGAGUGCAGAAGAGGACAGUGGAACUCCAUGUGUAGCGGUGGAAUGCGUAGAUAUAUGGAAGAACACCAGUGGCGAAGGCGGCUGUCUGGUCUGCAACUGACGCUGAGGCUCGAAAGCAUGGGUAGCGAACAGGAUUAGAUACCCUGGUAGUCCAUGCCGUAAACGAUGAGUGCUAAGUGUUGGAGGGUUUCCGCCCUUCAGUGCCCGGAGCUAACGCAUUAAGCACUCCGCCUGGGGAGUACGACCGCAAGGUUGAAACUCAAAGGAAUUGACGGGGGCCCGCACAAGCGGUGGAGCAUGUGGUUUAAUUCGAAGCUACGCGAAGAACCUUACCAGGUCUUGACAUCUUGCGCUAACCUUAGAGAUAAGGCGUUCCCUUCGGGGACGCAAUGACAGGUGGUGCAUGGUCGUCGUCAGCUCGUGUCGUGAGAUGUUGGGUUAAGUCCCGCAACGAGCGCAACCCUUGUUACUAGUUGCCAGCAUUAAGUUGGGCACUCUAGUGAGACUGCCGGUGACAAACCGGAGGAAGGUGGGGACGACGUCAGAUCAUCAUGCCCCUUAUGACCUGGGCUACACACGUGCUACAAUGGACGGUACAACGAGUCGCAAGCUCGCGAGAGUAAGCUAAUCUCUUAAAGCCGUUCUCAGUUCGGACUGUAGGCUGCAACUCGCCUACACGAAGUCGGAAUCGCUAGUAAUCGCGGAUCAGCAUGCCGCGGUGAAUACGUUCCCGGGCCUUGUACACACCGCCCGUCACACCAUGGGAGUUUGUAACGCCCAAAGUCGGUGGCCUAACCUUUAUGGAGGGAGCCGCCUAAGGCGGGACAGAUGACUGGGGU
rnacentral:rRNA from 1 species